CGCCACGCCCGCUCAGAAACUCAAAGGAAUUGACGGGGCCCGCACAAGCGGUGGAGCAUGUGGUUUAAUUCGAUGCAACGCGAAGAACCUUACCUGGUCUUGACAUCCCGGAGACCCUUAGGAAACUAGGGGGUGCUUCCAUCUGGAAGAAUCUGGAGACAGGUGCUGCAUGGCUGUCGUCAGCUCGUGUCGUGAGAUGUUGGGUUAAGUCCCGCAACGAGCGCAACCCUUGCCUUUAGUUGCCAGCAGUUCGGCUGGGCACUCUAAAGGGACUGCCGGUGUUAAACCGGAGGAAGGUGGGGAUGACGUCAAGUCCUCAUGGCCUUUAUGACCAGGGCUACACACGUACUACAAUGGCCGAUACAAAGGGCAGCGACACUGCGAGGUGAAGCCAAUCCCGUAAAAUCGGUCUCAGUCCGGAUUGGAGUCUGCAACUCGACUCCAUGAAGUUGGAAUCGCUAGUAAUCGUGGAUCAGCAUGCCACGGUGAAUACGUUCCCGGGCCUU
rnacentral:rRNA from 1 species